rnacentral:rRNA from 1 species
UGGGGAAUAUUGCACAAUGGGCGAAAGCCUGAUGCAGCAACGCCGCGUGCGGGAUGACGGCCUUCGGGUUGUAAACCGCUUUCAGCAGGGACGAAGGUUUUCUGACGGUACCUGCAGAAGAAGCACCGGCUAACUACGUGCCAGCAGCCGCGGUGAUACGUAGGGUGCGAGCGUUGUCCGGAAUUAUUGGGCGUAAAGAGCUUGUAGGCGGUCCGUUGCGUCGGAAGUGAAAACUCAGGGCUUAACCCUGAGCCUGCUUUCGAUACGGGCGGACUUGAGGGAUGUAGGGGAGAACGGAAUUCCUGGUGGAGCGGUGGAAUGCGCAGAUAUCAGGAGGAACACCAGUGGCGAAGGCGGUUCUCUGGACAUUUCCUGACGCUGAGAAGCGAAAGCGU